rnacentral:rRNA from 1 species
GACGAACGCUGGCGGCGUGCUUAACACAUGCAAGUCGAACGGAAAGGCCUGCUUUCCCUUGUGGAUUGCGGGUACUCGAGUGGCGAACGGGUGAGUAACACGUGAGUGAUCUGCCCCCAACUUGGGUAUAAGCCUGGGAAACUGGGUCUAAUUCCCGAUAGGACUGCAGGGUGGUGCCUGUGGUGGAAAACGAUUUUCUAGUGGUUGGGGAUGAGCUCGCGGCCUAUCAGCUUGUUGGUGGGGUAAUGGCCUACCAAGGCGGCGACGGGUAGCCGGCCUGAGAGGGUGGACGGCCACAUUGGGACUGAGAUACGGUCCAGACGCCUACGGGAGGCAGCAGUGGGGAAUAUUGCACAAUGGGCGGAAGCCUGAUGCAGCGACGCCGCGUGGGGGAUGACGGCCUUCGGGUUGUAAACUCCUUUGGACCGCGAGGAAGCCACCUGGUUGGAAGGGUGGUGACGGUAGUGGUAGAAGAAGCACCGGCUAACUACGUG